CCAUUCACAUUAGUUUUCGAGAUUGAAGUGACUUAAAGGUAUCAAAUUUGUGAAAGCCUCGAAUAUGCUCUGUUCCAUUACUUCACAUGCCAAACAGAGCUAACAACAUACUUAUACGACUUUAAAUCUCUUUUCUUCACGUCUCUACCUGCAAAUACACAUCAUUAUAUUGAACCUAUCUUUCUCAAUCCCAAUCAUAUAUUCACAGAAAACUACAAGCAUAACUGAAACAAACUUGGUCACCGUAAAAAAUAUGUCGAAAACAGGGUUUAAUCGGGUUAGUGUUUAGAGGUUACGGUCCCGAACAAAGACGUUGAAGUUCAGUGAGAGAUGGAGAGUCAAGAAAACAUGAGGCUAUAGAAACAAGUCUAAUGGGAACAAAUGGAGAAUAGGCCUUGUACCACUCAUUAUUCUCUAUCUCUAGUUCUCUACAAAAGAAAAAAAAGAAGAGACAAACUUGAAAAAGGAAAUGGGUGAUUCUUAUUCUUUUAAAGAAUCUGAUAAUGCAAAAAAAAAACUUACUGAAAAGGAAGAUUCUCUUUGAGAUUAGGACAGAAUAUUUGUCUUUCCAGAGUUUAACGGUUAUUACAUGACGUUAUAAUAUGCCCAUCUGAGAGAUAAUACAGAGAACCAGAACCACACCAGAGUUAAACAAAAUUUUAAAAUUAAAUAUCAGGAAAUAAAAAGAAAAAGGAGGGACCUUUUGUAUGAGAUUAUAAAAUGGCAAAGCUAAGUUGAUAUACAAAACUAGGCCUCUCUCUUCUACCCUGAAGGAGAUUCGGUAUGUAAAAUGCCGAAAAUUCGAAUUUGUUCCUUUUCUCUAUUGUUGUGUUUAUAGAUGUUUAUGUAACUUUUGAUCAAAGGAGUUUUCAGUGCAACAAUCAGAGAGAUGGCAAGAAAUGAUUGGAUCAACAGUUACCUGGAAGCUAUUCUUGAUGUUGGAACUAGCAACAAAAAGAGGUUUGAGAGCAACUCCAAGAUCGUCCAGAAGCUUGGAGAUAUGAAUAGCAAGGAUCAUCAAGACAAGGUGUUUGGAGAUAUGAAUAGCAAGGAUCAUCAUCAAGAGAAGGUGUUUAGUCCCAUCAAAUAUUUUGUUGAAGAGGUCGUCAACAGUUUCGAUGAGUCUGACCUGUAUAAAACAUGGAUUAAGGUUUGUUUCUCAAUCUGUAUCCUUAUAUUAAAUGGUAUAAAUACAAAAAGAUACGGAGAGAAUAUUGUUCCACAUAAUCUCCCAUAUGUCUGGAAGUGACCGGAGUUAAAAUAGUAAGAACCAAAGAAUGUGGGAGACAUUGUCUAAAACACAAAAUGAUUUUAUUCAAACCAAAACAAAUACAGUUCCACAUAAAUUUAAGUACCUGCGAGUGAUGGUAGAGAGAUCUUUCACUUCUUGUGGCAGGUGAUAGCAACAAGGAAUACUCGUGAACGCAGUAACAGGCUUGAGAAUAUAUGCUGG
rnacentral:lncRNA from 1 species